UCAUCACUUAUCUUCCUGAUAGGUCCACUCUGUUCCCACCUUGCCUGGGAUCUUGGUCUCUUAACAUCCAGGUGACGAGGCCACAUUUGAGUACUGUAGCUUCAAGAGGGUGUGGGCAGAAAGCAUGCAGUCACCCGGGGAUGCUGGCUGUCUCUGCUGCUCCCUGAGUAGAUGCUACUGAGGACUCUGGAACUGGAAUCCAGGUUUGUAUAUCAAUACAGCAGGUAAAGCAGAAGUUCCAGCUGAGGUGCCCAGACAACAGAGGAAACAUGAGGUCCCGUUGGAGGAUGCAUGAAGGAAGACCAGCUGAGGAGCCCCUAACCCUCAUCACCAUGAGAGUAUAAAUGAGUCAGAGAUUCGAGAUUUGAGGAGGAUUUAUGGCAUCAGCUCCUGUUAGUGAGCUCGAG
rnacentral:lncRNA from 13 species